CAUAAAGGUGAGCCUCAUAUUUCUGUGAGAUAUGGCCUCUUCAAUGACUACUGAGGCGAAUGGAGUGAGGGUAGUGACUCAUGUUAUCCCACUGGAGGAAAAAACAGAGUCUUCGGACCUAAAGUCAAGCUCGGUUGAACUUGAAAAGUCCAAUCUGUCACCAAAAACCAAGAUGUUCCUAAAGGGGAAGCCUCUGUCACUGGGGUUGGUGCAGGUGUUUAUUGGUUUGGUGAUCAUGACUCUGUGCACCAUCACGGUGCUUGUGGAUAUGCUGGAUGUUAAGACUGUAAUGUCCCUUGGACUUCCUUUUGUCAUCUCUGGGUCCGUGGCAAUCGCCGCACACAAGAGAUCCAGUUCUACUCUGAUCAAAGCCACGCUGGCCAUGAGUGUGAUCUGUGCUCUGCUGGCUGCUGCAGGAACCGGCUACUUCAGUUGGGAGCUCAGCAAUAGACCAGGGGAGAAUCCUUGUAGCGGCGGAGGUUACUGGUCAUGUUCGUACAUGAUAUGGAGAUUUAAUAGUUUGAUGGAUGGAUUGAGGGGUCUCCUGCUGGUGCUGUGUUUUCUUGAACUGUGCGUGUGCAUCUCUCUGUCCAUCUUUUCGGCCCGGGCUAUCCAACAGGGCGAAACCGAUGUCGACCCUUGCGGCAGUGACUCCAGUCUCCUGAAGGUUGGGGUGGAUUGUGUCUCCAACCCCUGAAUAGCCACACAGUUAUGGCCAAGGUUUCUCUAGUCAAAAGUUUAAUCAUCAUAUAGGCUAAAUGGGAUAACAUUUGCUUUAUAAAGUUCUUUCUUUUUGAUGGGAUUGUUUGAUAAAAUACAGGAUAGCCAUUUUCCACUAGAUGAUUUGUCAUUUUUUGCAGUAUACACAUUUCUGCAUGGUUAUGUUCUUUGAGACGUAUUGCACACUGCUUGCUGAUUUUAUGAAUAAAAUGCACUAUGUUUCAUUAUUUCUCUGGCAACUUUAUUGAAGACAGUUAACUGUAUUAGCGUCCACACCAGCGUAUAAUAACAUUCUGAUUAUUAUAAGCACACGCUGCUGUUAUGUCAUCUGCCGCUUUAAAUGCUCAAGCUCUUAAAAUUCUGAUUGGCUGUCAAUGUUUUUAAAGUUCAUCAGCUGGGAAAAAAAUUAAUUCUGAAAGUGAUUCCAACAGUAUUUUCUCUAUACUUUCCUAAUGCCGGGGGGGAAAAGUGGACAUUUAUUUCUAAAACUAUAAUUUGCUCUCCAAUACAGAUCCUAAAGAAAAGCUUAAGCAUUUAUUUAUGGAAGCCUAUUUCAGCAGUAUAAGAAAAAUCAUGCUUUGAUACAUAAAUGCAAAAUUAUUACACACUAAGUCACAAUUCUGUGAACACAAAAAUGUGAAAUUAUGAGAUGCUGAGUCAUAAUUAUGACAUCAAUGGACAUAAAAAGUCCAAAAUGAUGUCAUAAAAAGUCCAAUUUAUGACAUACUAAAUAAUCAAAAAUAGAUAAGUUGUUUAAAUUAUGACAUAGCAAAUCAUAAUUAUGGCAUCAAAAGUUUAUGGCAUUAAUUAGUUUUUAAACACAGGAUGUAAACAUCCUUUAUGUGUGAGCACGUACCAAUUGAGUAUCCUUGUUCUUGACAAUUGCAGGUACUUUGACUUGCUAUGUAAUAAUUCAACUUUUUUUAUCCAAUAAUAAUUGACUUUCUAUUUGAUUAUUUUGACUUCAUCUCAUAACUAUGACUUAGUAUGUCAUUUUUGCCUUUUAUGUAAUAAUUAUGACUUCUGACAAUAAAACACAAGAGUUUGAUAUAUUCCUUACUCCAGUGUCCCCCUUGUUUAAUUUAUAGAAAUUAGUAGUUGAAUAUGAGU
ensembl:lncRNA membrane-spanning 4-domains subfamily A member 4A-like